GACGAACGCUGGCGGCGGGCCUAACACAUGCAAGUCGAACGGAAAGGCCCUGCUGUUUGGUGGUGCUCGAGCGGCGAACGGGUGAGUAACACGUGAGUAGCCUGCCCUUGGCUGUGGGGUAACUUCAGGAAACUGGGGCUGAUACCGGAUAGGAGCUUCUGCUGCAUGGUGGGGGGGGGAUAGGUGCGGCGGGUGGUGAUGGACGCGCGGCUGAUCAGCUUGUUGGUGGGGGAGUAGCUUACCAAGGGGGGGACGGGUCGCCCACCUGAGAGGGUGACCGCGCACAUUAGGACUGAGAUACGGAGCAGACGCCUACAGUGCGCAGCAGUGGGAAGUAUUGCACAAUGAUGGGAAGCCUGAUGCGGAAGCGCCCCGUGUGGAAAGACCGCCUUCGGGUUAUGAACCGCUUUCACCUGAGACGAAGCGUGAGUGACGUUACUGGCUAAAGAAGCACCGGCUAACUACGUG
rnacentral:rRNA from 1 species